AGAACGAACGCUGGCGGCAUGCCUAAUACAUGCAAGUCGAACGAACUCUUCGGAGUUAGUGGCGCACGGGUGCGUAACGCGUGGGAAUCUGCCCUUGGGUUCGGAAUAACAGUUGGAAACGACUGCUAAUACCGGAUGAUGACGAAAGUCCAAAGAUUUAUCGCCCAGGGAUGAGCCCGCGUAGGAUUAGCUAGUUGGUGAGGUAAAGGCUCACCAAGGCGACGAUCCUUAGCUGGUCUGAGAGGAUGAUCAGCCACACUGGGACUGAGACACGGCCCAGACUCCUACGGGAGGCAGCAGUAGGGAAUAUUGGGACAAUGGGCGAAAGCCUGAU
rnacentral:rRNA from 1 species